GGGGGUUGGGGGUUUGCAAAGGGAGUAGCCUCCAGUCCUUCUGUUACUUAGGUGUGGAAAGUUGGGGUUUUCCUUUUGAUUUAGUUCUACGAAGUCAGAGUGAAUCAGCCUUAGGUUCCCUGCCUCCAGACCCUAUUCUCCUGCCUCACAAGAGUUGAAGAAAGACCACCAGCUAUUUGGAAGAAUGCGAUUCAGGUACUUCCAGUCAGAUACAUCCGUGCAAGACUUGGAUAGAGAAGUAACAUAAGGAGGCAGCUGUGGGAAGACUGACCAUCUGCUUUGUGCCUGGAUACUAGCAGGAAGGAAGAGGAGGAGCAAGAAUGGAAGGCUUGUACCAACAAGUUCUUAUCCUUUUUAAUGAGGAAAACAAGAGCAUCCCUAUUCUGCUCUUAUCUCACCGAGUUCCAUGGCCAUUCUGAGCUGCAGUGGAGUCUUGGGAGGACAUUUGGCUGGAUUCAAAGAACUUUGAAGCCCAAGGGGAUGGAGGAACCACGGGAUGGAAGGUGCCUGAAUCCUGAAUGACUGUGUGGACAGUUUAUAAACAUUUGGGCAGUGCCAUCUCUAUCACAUAAAUUUAUUUUGUCUUCUUUUAUUUCUUCUUACCUUCCCAUGAUUUUCCUGGGUGAAUGGCUAAUUAGAAGAGUAAGAUGAGGUAGAGGGUGGAAUAGAGAGAUUGUAAAUUCUGCUUUGGGGAUAUUAAUCUGAGUUGUGUGUGAGAUGUUCAAGUGAAGAUGUCAAGCAAAAAUUUAGAUAUUUGCACCCCAGUGUGGUGGCUCACACCUGUAAUACCAGUACUUUGAGAGGCUGAGGCGGGUGGAUCACUAGAGGUCAGGAGUUGGACACCAUCCUGACAAACAUGUUGAAACCCUGUCUCCACUAAAAAUACAAAAAUUAGCCGGGCGUGGUUAUGGGUGCCUGUAAUCCCAGCUACUUGGGAGGCUGAGGCAGGAGAAUCGCUUGAACCUAGGAGGCAGAGGUUGCAGUGAGCCAAGAUCAUGCCAUUGCACUCCAGCCUGGGCAAUAAGAGCAAAACUUGUCUCAAAAAAAAUUUAGAUAUUUGCCUAUGGAUUUCAGAGGAGAAAUGCGGCAAGAGCAAAAGUUUCAGAGUCAAUAACCUAAUACUUGCAUUUAGCUCCAAAAGAAUUGUUGAAAUUAUAUAGGGAAAGAGGGUAGAGAAUAAAGAAGUGCCUGAAGUUGAGACUUAAGAUUCCUCAACAUUUAGAGUUUGAGUAGGAAUGGAGUUCAAGAAAGAGCAGAAGGAAAAGUAGAAGGGAUAUCAGGAGAGCAUGAGGUCAGAGAAGCCAAGAGAGAAAUAUUGUGCAAGAUGGAAGAUGUGGCCACCAUUAUGAGUUCUACUGACUGGUAAAGUAACCGUGGGAGCCAUCAGUGGCCUUGACAAGAGACAUUUCCUGGGAUGAUGGUUGGAACCUAGACUAGAGCAGAUUGAGGAGACAACCAGUAGUAAGGCUACAGAGAAAAGGGAACACUUACACACUGUUGGUGGGAAUGUAAAUUGGUUCAUCCACUGUGGAAAACAGUUUGGAGAUUUCUCAAAGAACUUAAAACAGAACUACCAUUUGACUCAGCAAUCCCAUUACUGGGUAUAUAUCCAAAGAAAAUAAAUCAUCCUAACAAAAAGACGCAUUUUCUCAUAUGUUCAUCACAAUACUAUUCACAAUACCAAAGACAUAGAAUCAACCUAAUACUCAUCAACAGUGGAUUGGAAAAAGAAAAUGUAGUAAUAUAUACCAUGAAGUACCACAGAGCCAUAAAAAAGAAUGAAAUCAUGUCCUUUGCAGCAACAUGGAUAGAGCUGGAGGCCAUUAUCCUAAGUGAAUUAUGCAGGAGCAGAACACCAACUAUCACAUAUUCUCAUUUAUAAGGGGGAGCUAAACAUUAGGUUCUCAUAGACAUAAAGAUGGCAAUAAUAGACACUGAAGACUACUGGAGGGAGGGGGUGAAAGGGGGAAGAGUUGAAAAACUAACUGUUGGGUACUAUACUCUGUACUGGGCGAUGGGAUCAUCUGUAUCCUAAACUUCAACAUCAUGCAAUAUAACCUAAUAACAAAUCUGCACUCCCUGAACCUAAA
rnacentral:lncRNA from 1 species